GGGCGGCAGGCCGGUUUGCGCCAAGCCCUCGCUCAUGGCGCGGGCGAUGACGGUGGCGGUGCGGUGCGAAUCCGAGCCUGCCCGC
rnacentral:tRNA from 1 species